GGAGGAGUACCGAAGUGGUCAUAACGGGGCGGUCUUGAAAACCGUUAGGGGGCAACCCCACACGGGUUCGAAUCCUGUCUCCUCCGCCA
rnacentral:tRNA from 1 species